rnacentral:rRNA from 1 species
UACAGAGGGGGCAAGCGUUGUUCGGAAUUACUGGGCGUAAAGGGCGCGUAGGCGGCCUUCUAAGUCAGACGUGAAAUCCCUCGGCUUAACCGGGGAACUGCGUCUGAUACUGGAUGGCUAGAGAUUGGGAGAGGGAUGCGGAAUUCCAGGUGUAGCGGUGAAAUGCGUAGAUAUCUGGAGGAACACCGGUGGCGAAGGCGGCAUCCUGGACCAACACUGACACUGAAAAGCGAAAGCCAGGGGAGCAAACGGG